UCUGCUGCGAUAAGUUUAAAUCGACCGGCAAUGUAACAGAUGGUGCACUUAUAUGGUGGUACGAAGUCUUCCACUAGGAAUGAAUUGUAUAUAUAGCACUAUAAUAUUGCAUGUUCACCAAAUCUGAUAAGUAUUGUCACUGUAAUAGUGAAGGAAUGCGAUGAGGAGUGCAAUGACUUUUAGAAGACCGUAGUUGUCGAUGGCUGCACUGUAUGACCUGACAAGAAUCACAUAAAGAUGAGCAAUAUUAAUUGGCACUACCACAGUCUACAUAUAUUUGCUAAUGGAAUUUAGCCUAGUGAUGGGACAGAAGGUAAUCAUUCUUAGACUACUUGUCUCUCUACAUAAAUAACUUUGAGCAUUUCUGAAGUUCUGUCCAG
rnacentral:lncRNA from 1 species